rnacentral:rRNA from 1 species
CAGUGACAAUAGUUUAACGGCCGCGGUAUUUUGACCGUGCUAAAGGUAGCGCAAUCACUCGUCCUUUAAAUAGGGACCUGUAUGAAUGGCUAAACGAGGGCUUAACUGUCUCCCCCCUCUAGUCAGUGAAAUUGAUCUAUCCGUGCAGAAGCGGAUAUAAUAAUACAAGACGAGAAGACCCUUUGGAGCUUAAGGUACAAGAUUUAAAUCACAUUCAAGCAAGCCAAUAAAAGCAACUAACCCAUUGAACGAUAAACCUUUACCUUCGGUUGGGGCGACCACGGAGUAAAAGAAAACCUCCAAGAGGAGCGGGUAAAACCCUAAAACUAAGAGAAACAUCUCUAAGCCUCAGAACAUCUGACCGCAAAUGAUCCGGCCUUUAAGCCGAUCAACGAACCAAGUUACCCUAGGGAUAACAGCGCAAUCCUCUCUAAGAGUCCAUAUCGACGAGGGGGUUUACGACCUCGAUGUUGGAUCAGGACAUCCUAAUGGUGCAGCCGCUAUUAAGGGUUCGUUUGUUCAACGAUUAACAGUCCUACGUGAUCUGAGUU